AGAGUUUGAUCCUGGCUCAGGAUGAACGCUGGCGGCGUGCUUAACACAUGCAAGUCGAACGGUGAAGCUCCAGCUUGCUGGAGUGGAUCAGUGGCGAACGGGUGAGUAACACGUGAGCAACCUGCCCCGAACUCUGGGAUAAGCGCUGGAAACGGCGUCUAAUACCGGAUACGCACCAGAGCGGCAUCGUUACUGGUGGGAAAGAUUUUUUGGUUCGGGAUGGGCUCGCGGCCUAUCAGCUUGUUGGUGAGGUAACGGCUCACCAAGGCGUCGACGGGUAGCCGGCCUGAGAGGGUGACCGGCCACACUGGGACUGAGACACGGCCCAGACUCCUACGGGAGGCAGCAGUGGGGAAUAUUGCACAAUGGGCGGAAGCCUGAUGCAGCAACGCCGCGUGAGGGACGACGGCCUUCGGGUUGUAAACCUCUUUUAGCAGGGAAGAAGCGAAAGUGACGGUACCUGCAGAAAAAGCGCCGGCUAACUACGUGCCAGCAGCCGCGGUAAUACGUAGGGCGCAAGCGUUAUCCGGAAUUAUUGGGCGUAAAGAGCUCGUAGGCGGUUUGUCGCGUCUGCUGUGAAAACCCGAGGCUCAACCUCGGGCCUGCAGUGGGUACGGGCAGACUAGAGUGCGGUAGGGGAGAUUGGAAUUCCUGGUGUAGCGGUGGGAAUGCGCAGAUAUCAGGAGGAACACCGAUGGCGANGGCAGAUNUNUNNNCCGUAAC
rnacentral:rRNA from 1 species